rfam:Punica granatum cultivar Dabenzi scaffold448, whole genome shotgun sequence.
UGGCUAUGAUGACAAAAAAAGGCCGGACUUACGGCUGCCACCGGUGGUCUCCGUCGUGGUAGUAGGUUGAUGAUCCUGUCAUAGUAAAGGUUUCGACUGAGCCAG